rnacentral:lncRNA from 1 species
AAAUUUGCAAAGGUCAAUAUAAGAUUGAUAUUCCAAAGAACUAAAUACUUCUACAUAUGUUUCUACUUGUAAGAAAAAAUAAUAAGCAAGUCAUUAAUUAUAUUCUAAUCCUACUAGUUAUAACUUUUGAAUAGUCUGAUCUUCCAAUAGUACUUGUAUUGAAGCAAUGGUUCAAUUAUGCAUGUUCAUCCUGACAAAUAAAAGAUAAAAUAUAAUUAUAAUUUGACAAAGUAAGUUAUAAAAUACACAAAUAUAAAAUCUAAAAAGCAGAGAUAUUCACAUGAAUGCACUCACUAAUACACCCAAACACACUUUAAUCUCCUGAUAAAUCUCCUUAUUUCAUUUGAAAAUGACCAAAAUCAGAGACACUAUAAAUUAUGUACCGAAGAGAGAGUGAGAUGUUCCAGAUUUGGCAAAGGAUAUCUGUUCACUUCCUUCAACCCCAAGAAUGUCACAAAAAUAAAAGGAAGUAAAAAGUAAUCUUAAUCUCCUGGAAUAAUUUUCUGAAAUAAACUUUUAAAACAGUUUCCAGCUUCCUGGAGACUUCCUCUUUCCCUUUUUAUCAAACCUGACCAAGAGCAUUGAUUGAGUUUAAAAAGAGAUAAUAGCUGAAUGUGAAAUCACAAGAAGAACUCUCUAUGUGUAGUGAUUUUUAAUCCAUCAAAACUCUUCUUGUUGACAAUCAACUUCCUGGUGGCAUACUACUCUCCAAAUCAGAUGCAAACAAUAUCUCAUCAAAAGAAGUGGAUCUAAGACAACCACCCAUCAUAUUUAUUAUUUCAAGGCUAGACAAUUUCUAGAAAAAUCCUUGGCCGAUACUACUCUCCAAAUCAUGCGGGCAUAUUUAAUAACCUCAGAUUUGUUAACUUGUUCAUUCCUAUCGGCAGAAAAAGAUUACCAAUAUCUGGUAACUCUUUCAACUCAUUGCAAUUUUGUAGUAUUAGAGAUCGUAGUUGACAUAAACUAUUGAUGGAAGAAGGCAGUGCUCUAAUACCAGUAUGACUCAGAUUCACAACUCUUAGAGCUGAAAAUGCGAAACAAGAGAUAUUUAGGCAACAUACCUCAGUUGAUUUCUU